rnacentral:RNase_P_RNA from 12 species
AGAUGUGGAGGGAAGCUCAGUGCUGAGGCUACAGACAGAGUGCUGGGGGUCACUCAGUGAGUGUGACUCAGGGAAGGUCUGAGAUUAGAGCCCCUUGCUGCUCUCACAGGGCAUCACUUGGAUGAAGUGAGUGGGUACUCAGAAAGCUUGGCUCUGAUUGGCCAGUGAGUGCAAAAGAUGCAGUGAGUGCUCCUGGGUUGAGCUCCUGUAGAUGCAAAGGCAUCAGGCUUGGCACUGCCCACAGCUGGCACAUUCAAGCUCAAUGGCUGAGAGGGAACUGCCNCAACCCAAUUCAGACUACUUUUUUUCCACAUUU